rnacentral:rRNA from 1 species
GGGCGCAAGCCUGAUCCAGCAAUGCCGCGUGAGUGAAGAAGGCCUUCGGGUUGUAAAGCUCUUUCAGUUGAGAAGAAAAAAUUGUGGCUAAUACCNNNAAUUCAUGACGGUAUCNACAGAAGAAGCACCGGCUAACUACGUGCCAGCAGCCGCGGUAAUACGUAGGGUGCNAGCGUUAAUCGGAAUUACUGGGCGUAAAGGGUGCGCAGGCGGUUNUGUAAGUCAGAUGUGAAAUCCCCGGGCUUAACCUGGGAACUGCGUUUGAAACUACANNACUAGAGUGUGGCAGAGGGGGGUGGAAUUCCAUGUGUAGCAGUGAAAUGCGUAGAGAUAUGGAAGAACAUCGAUGGCGAAGGCAGCCCCCUGGGUUAACACUGACNCUCAUGCACGAAAGCGUGGGGAGCAAACAGGAUUAGAUACCCUGGUAGUCCACGCCCUAAACUAUGUCAACUAGUUGUCGGGUCUUAUUAGNCUUGGUAACGNAGCUAACGCGUGAAGUUGACCGCCUGGGGAGUACGGUCGCAAGAUUA